rnacentral:rRNA from 1 species
UACAGAGGUCCCAAGCGUUGUUCGGAUUCACUGGGCGUAAAGGGUGCGUAGCGGUCGGGUAAGUCUGAUGUGAAAUCUCACAGCUUAACUGUGAAACUGCAUUGGAUACUAUCCGGCUCGAGGAAUGGAGGGGAGAUGGAAUACUUGGUGUAGCAGUGAAAUGCGUAGAUAUCAAGUGGAACACCAGUGGCGAAGGCGAGUCUCUGGACAUUUCCUGACGCUGAGGCACGAAAGCCAGGGGAGCAAACGGG